rnacentral:rRNA from 1 species
AUAUCAAUAAGCGGAGGAAAAGAAACCAACAGGGAUUGCCCUAGUAACGGCGAGUGAAGCGGCAACAGCUCAAAUUUGAAAUCUAGCGCAAGCCCGAGUUGUAAUUUGUAGAGGAUGUUUCUGGCGACGUGCCUUCCGAGUUCCCUGGAACGGGACGCCAUAGAGGGUGAGAGCCCCGUACGGUUGGAUGCCUAGCCUCUGUGAAACUCCUUCGACGAGUCGAGUAGUUUGGGAAUGCUGCUCUAAAUGGGAGGUAUACGUCUUCUAAAGCUAAAUACCGGCCAGAGACCGAUAGCGCACAAGUAGAGUGAUCGAAAGAUGAAAAGCACUUUGAAAAGAGGGUUAAAAAGUAC